ACGAACGCUGGCGGCAGGCUUAACACAUGCAAGUCGAGCGCCCCGCAAGGGGAGCGGCAGACGGGUGAGUAACACGUGGGAACGUACCCUUUUCUACGGAAUAACCCAGGGAAACUUGGACUAAUACCGUAUGUGCCCUUCGGGGGAAAGAUUUAUCGGAAAAGGAUCGGCCCGCGUUGGAUUAGCUAGUUGGUGGGGUAAAGGCCUACCAAGGCGACGAUCCAUAGCUGGUCUGAGAGGAUGAUCAGCCACAUUGGGACUGAGACACGGCCCAAACUCCUACGGGAGGCAGCAGUGGGGAAUAUUGGACAAUGGGCGCAAGCCUGAUCCAGCCAUGCCGCGUGAGUGAUGAAGGCCUUAGGGUUGUAAAGCUCUUUCACCGGAGAAGAUAAUGACGGUAUCCGGAGAAGAAGCCCCGGCUAACUUCGU
rnacentral:rRNA from 1 species